AGAAGUUGUAACAAGGUUUCCGUAGGUGAACCUGCGGAAGGAUCAUUG
rnacentral:rRNA from 3 species